AUGUCGUGGCAUCGAGCGAAGGUGGCACUGGAGCAGCCACGGCUGGGAGAAACAGUAUAUGACAUACAACGUGAUGUGCAUAAGGCUCAUAAAGAUCAAAAACACAUUGUGGUGGUCGUCCUCGGCUACAAGGCUGGAGUAGUCGUCGCUGCUCUCAUCCUCGUGCACCAUGGCGCGGUGGCGGCGGGGAAUUGCGCGGCGGUCGGCGGCGAAUCGGAGGGCGAGAGCUCGAGCGGGGCGGGGGCUAGGUUAACUCCUUCCUUCCAGCUGGGCGGCCGCUCCAAGACUCUCAGCUUCCUUCCCUUUUACGGCGGCACCGACGGAGAUGGGGCCCAUUCCAGGUUCCUCCUCGUCGACGAGGACGACAUGACUGUGCUCCAUGGCGCCGACGCCGCCACCUUCGAGAUGAUGCCCGCCCUCGGCAGGCCCAAGGGAUUUGACCCCAUCUCUUUAUGCGUCACCCACGCCACCGACCAGGACCACCCGACGCGCUCUACGUCAUGGACUAUGCCGGCGGCAGCUUCGAGGAGCCGCACGUACGUGUGGCACUGGCGUCCGCUCCCUCCGCCUCCUAUCCUCGUUGACAAGAGAAGAGGCGCAGGCUCCAUGUCUGCCAGAAGCUACGCCCUGCUCCACGCCGACAAGAACACCACCACCAGCAGCAGCACCGCCUGCGUCUCAUUUAGCAGCAGCUCGGGGCGUGUUGGCGGCAUGGCGGGGGCGUGGCGGGGGAGCAAGAAACCGUCGUCGUCUAUGUCCGCCGCCGCGGGGCCGUCGUCUGUGCGGCCACUGGACUAUCUGGGCCCGGAAACCAUGUCCAUUGGACGCGCCUCGCUCGGAUUCGUCAUCUCAGCCAAAGAAAUCGACGUGGGAGGUCCUACAUCGCUGCAUCGGCCAUCAUCCCUUUCGUCUCCGUCCACUGGCCGUCGUGCCAAAUUCAUCACCGUCGCCACGCUCCGGCAUCUCUGCUUGGUUCCCCGAGCUCCCUAUGGUGCUCCUGAAGGUGCUGGACAUCCCCCCGAUGAGCUGCGCUUCCUAUAUCAUCGCCUUCAAAAUGAGCAGCCGUCGCCAGAGCUCCGUGACCAUGCUCAUGUCCUCCCCAAGCCUCGUGGUCGUCUAAGUGAGCUCCCUGUGCUCCUACCUCUAUCUCCCGUGUCCUCCAGCAGCCUCCCGAAAAAAAAAAACACCGCACCAAACCCGGACGUCCACCAAACCUCUCCUCCCUUCCUUCCUUCCGCCGCCUCCCUCUCUCUGUCCCCGAUCCAGAUCGGCCUCUCCCUCACCCCUCGCACCGCGCCCUCCUUCCCUCGCGCUGUCACCGGCGGCGCCCUCCUUCCUUUCUGUCACCGGCGGCGCCCUCCUUCCCUCGCGCUGCACCCGAACCUCGCUCCCGCUCCCAGCUCUUCUUCCUCCUCCGCUGCAGCUAGGGUUUCGUCUCCCCGAUCCCCAAUCCCCGUGCAGAUGGAGAACCGAAAUAAGACCGACCUCAAGAGGAAGCGUCUGGACGAUGGGACGGAGCAGGAGCAGGAGGCUGCUAUCAAGGAGACGUGCCAAGUCCUGAAGGAGAUGGAAAGCGAGGUCCAGAACCUCCGGGACGACAACAACCUGCUCCGCGACGAGCUCCUUGGCAAGGACCGGCAGCUUGCGGAGACGGAUACACUUUUAGUUGACAGGGAGCACCAGCUUUCAAAGACCCAGACACUUCUAGUUGAUACGGAGCAGCAGCUUGCGGCCCAGACACUUCUAGUUGACAGUUCAGCAAAGGAGUUUGAAACUGAAACAGUCCUGUCCAGUUUCACCUGCAAGGACCCCAUAACCAAGGAACGGGUCUAUGGUCGGCAUAAUCUAGGUAGUUGGCUCAGUGAAUUCAAGACGGAGCAAGAUCUGGAACAUGGGGUCAGAAAGGAGCUCCUCGCCAAGAUCCGGCGCUACUACGAUCAGGUGAACAUCGUCGACGAAGGCUUCUGCUUUGGCCUACUAGAUCCGGUCUCCAACAUCGUCGUCGCCGAAGCAAUCGCCCAAAGCAAGCUGCUGGUGGUGGACGAGGAAGACAAGGCCGAGCUGGCUGAGGACUCACAUGGUCGUCAACGGCCGAUACUACGGUGCAUUUUUGAGCGGUCGCUCGACGGUCUCAUCGCCUUUCUGGUGGCCCUCUUUCCCUACCUCCCCUACUACAGGGCCGAGUGGUAUCUCAACAAGGCUAAUUUGGAUCCCCUCGUGGCCGCCAACCUCAUCAUCAAGCACCGAGGGAUGGAACAGACCUUCAGGUUUCUAUCUGACACCACCGUGGCAGCCGUUGGAAUGGCGCUAAGAUGUGCUGCAGCUGCCGCCCUGCACCCCAACCCGCGGAAGUUCGCUCUAGGGUGGAAGCUACUGUCCCCUUUUCUCUGCAAGAUCAACACCCUGCUUUCACCACCCUACGCAGCCCAAGACCCCGGUCUGCUCAUCGACAUCCAGGAACUACUACAGCAACCUGAACCACCUGCUCUUUUCGUCCUGGAGGAAGCCUGGAGGCUUGCCUCUAAACGCACUGGCAGCAACCUGAACCAUCCGGAGAUGCAAGUGCCGCUGCUGCCGACUCUGAAGCAUUUGCUUCUCACCACCAUCCAUGGAUACUACCUGGAGGCUCUUGCCUGUCUGCCCAAGGACAAGCUGCGGGGCUCGCACCAGUACCACUACAGCUUGCUCCAUGCCGGUCACUGCUACGGACCGCUGGACCCUGUCUCCAACAUCAUCGUUAAUACCCUCUGGUAUGCCCAAGCCUACCCUCUAAAGCUAGAGAAAAAGAUCGACAUCGAGGUCAUCAGCACCAAAGCCCUGCUGCGAAUCGCACUCCGAUCCCUGUAUGGCCUCGUCUCCUUCCUUUGCACCCGCCACCCCACCCUCACGGUGGGUGAAGCCAUGCAACAACUGCAGCUGGCUGGGGCCUAUCUCCAAAAGGCCGAUGAUCCAAGCCAUCACGAUGGUGGUGUCGAACAAGAAGCCUACAUGGCUGCUGCCAAAGCCGCACACCACGCCAAACCUCUUGAACAGGCCCACUUCCUCGGACCAUCUAAUUCCAUGCUCAAAGGCUGCUUGGAACUCCUCAACCAAAACGAAGAUGCCAAGGUCCGCACAUUAAUUCUGGGCCACUUCCAAACCAACAGCAAACCUGCACAAGAAACAAAAAACACCAACGUGUUAGGCCCGUGGGCUUACAGAGAUGUAAUGAGAAUGAUAGACAACUUCUGGUACCAGCACACCAGUGUGGUGGGAAUGGUGAAGUCUGCAAUCGAGAUGUACAACAAGAAAAGCCAGGUACAACCCAGCUAUGAGGUCCAUGUUAUCUGCGGUGUCAAUGAGCACGUGGGUGGCCGUGCGGACCUAAUGAGGCCCUUUCAACACAUUAGCCAUUGCUCCCACAUCAACUUCCUUGCCACUCAGGUUGCUGGCACUCCAAAGCUCUUCUUUGCCGAGUGUCGCAACGUCGGCUCCAAGGAGGCGGUGUUGUGCUGUCCUGUUGCUAUGCCACUUCCAGGCUCUGAGCAAGUCCGUUGCCUUUACUGUGAGUCCAGAGGGAUGACCAUCGUGCACCCGACGAAGGAGAGAUUCCUGGGGCGUGACAGAGAGUUUGAGGAGAUGUUCCGCGGCGAAGGAGACACCACUGUUGACGUCACGUCUGACAGCUAUUACAUAACCUCGUAUUUGCAUAAUCUGGAGGAGGACUGGAUCUUCGGCGAUUACAGCUGCGACAGUGAACUCCAAGAGGAAGGGCGUACAAUCUCCCGGCGCCGGGGUUGCCCGUCGCGGCGGCGCAUCAGCGCCCCAUGGCGGCGUGCCUCCUUCGGUGCGUGGUGCCUCCAUCUCGGGAGGGACGAACCCUCAUCCAGCUCCAGUCAUGGGGUGACUUCCACUCCCUCGCGCCCUCCGGCUCAGACGCCGGGCUUCUCCAGUCCACCUCUUCUUCAGCGAGGACCGGCGCCGGUCUACAACUACGGUGGGAACCAACCCCCUAGCUAUGGCCAGGCCAGGCACUACGCCCCGCCAUACGGUCCGGCUGUCGCCGGUGCGCCAGGCUCUAUGUAUAGGACUUCGCCGGCCGGGAUGUCCGUUCCUUCACAGUUCCAUCCAGGAGGGAUUGUGGCACAACCAGUCCAGAAAAGUAAGAAGAAGAAGAAGAAGCCGCAUCAACAACAGUUUGCUGGGGGAGCUUUGCAACAUGGUUUUCACCCACCGGCUCAGCACAUGCAGGUUCAGCAACAUAUACCGCAUCAACCUAUACAACAACAACAUGUGCAGUCUUUUCAGCAGGGGCAAUAUCAGCAAUUUGUGCAGCAGCAGAACAGUCAGGUGCCACAGGGGCCUACUACUGUCGAUGUCCCUUCUCUGGGAGUUCCCGUGUCUGAUGUGCAAGUGAAUCCUACAGUGCCUAAGAACAAGGCUAUGAAAGGGGUCCGACGCUGGAAGUGUGCGGUGUAUACGCAUGCCGCAAAGGAUUGCACAGUGCAGCAUUACUGUUAUAUUUGUGACAAAAUCGCUUAUCCAACGUUGCAGUGCCCGGUUCUGAAACUCCCCAAGCCCAAUGAUUUUGUCCCGGGAGUUGGUGCUGAGGAGACUUACUUUGCCCUGCUGCCACAUAGUGUGGUGAAGGAUCAUUUGGCGCUGACACAAACACCGAUCGCCCGUGUUCAUUGGAAGUGGGAGGCUAUUCAACACGGGUCCGAUGCUUACCUUGUUAGCUUUCCUUCUUUCGAGGACUUGGACAGGGUUGACGGAAUUCAGAUGAACGUGCCGUCGGUUAAUGCCCGGAUGACUGUCACCGCAUGGAGGUCGCAGGAGGUCCCACAUAAGCUCGAGCUUCAACAGAUUUGGCUCCAUGUCGAGGGUGUUCCUCAUACGAUUUUGUCUAAGGACAAGGGUGACGCGGGGCCUUUUGUUGCAACAGAUGUGCUGGUUAAGCUCAAGGGCUACGCAUUCACGUUCAGGAAGGAGCCGGCUGAUUACAUUCCGGACCUUGACUUUGUCCCAUUUAUUUGGAGACGCAAGGGUGAUGAUGCUGACAAUGAGAGCGGCACCAAGGAGAAGGACGAUGUGAUGGACACCUCGGAGCACACCGGGAGCCCUUCCAACUACCCGUCUUCUAGUUCUGCUCCGGCGAAUAAAAUUCAUGAGACUCAAGUUCAACGACGUGUACUGUCGAGUGUGGGCUCUGGAGGUGUGACAGGACGUGGUUCAGUGAUUUUAGUGCAGGAGUCUGCCUCGCCUUCUACGCCACGGGCUGUGGUUGUGUCGCAGCCGUCGUCGCCUUCUCGGACUGCAACGUCGUCACCCGCUGCCCUCCAGUUGGUGCAGGUCACCGGCGGCUCGGCGGGAUGCCCGAACUCUCCAUCUGCUGAGGUGGCGCCGCAGCCCCCGCCGCCGACACGGAUGGCGCCGUCGCAACCGGCUGUCUCCAAGCCGGUGCAGGCAGCCGGAGUUUCAGCGGGGUGCCCUGUAGUGCCUUUAUUUAGCGGGCAUCCAGCAGUGGCGGCUUCAGAAAUUUGCAACCGGGUAUUCAUGUACCCAAGCAUACCCAUAGCGCCACCCUUGCCAUCCAGCGGCUCGGGUAGGGCCAACCCAGCACGCAUCUCAGUUGGAGCUGUGCAUGCAUGUUUCGAGUGUGCUGGGAAACAAAGGGCUGGCCUCGGGUGUGCAGCCAUGCAGUACUGCACAUUCGACUGUUAUUCGAUCUCCAUCGGAGCCGGACGCGUCCGCGGCUGCUCAACGAUUUCAGAUGAAGCCGAACGUGUACGUCUCACCCAUGCAUGCACCACCCGUGGUCCCGCCUCCAGACACACCAUCUUCGGCGGUGGCGUUGAGUGUACCGGUGGUUGUGACUGCCGGGGAGGGGGUUGCUACUACACCCUCAUCCCCUCCUCCGGCGGAUGUUCCUACACGACUUUCUUCAUCGGGGGUGACGCCCACACGUCGCAGUGCCCGCCAUGCGGUGGCUGA
rnacentral:rRNA from 1 species